rnacentral:rRNA from 1 species
GUGUCAGCAGCCGCGGUAAUACGAGAGGCCCAAACGUUAUUCGGAAUCACUGGGCUUAAAGAGUUCGUAGGCGGCGCGGAAAGUGGGGUGUGAAAGCCCUCGGCUCAACCGAGGAAUUGCGCUCCAAACUGUCGCGCUUGAGGAAGCUAGAGGUAAGCAGAACUGAUGGUGGAGCGGUGAAAUGCGUUGAUAUCAUCAGGAAUACCGGAGGCGAAGGCGGCUUACUGGGACUUUUCUGACGCUGAGGAACGAAAGCUAGGGGAGCAAACGGGAUUAGAUACCCCAGUAGUCC